CGAGUCGUACAGUAGUAGUUUACGUACUCCGUGCUACAGGACGAACGCUGGCGGCGUGCUUAACACAUGCAAGUCGAACGGAAGGUCCCCACUUUUUGGUGGGGGUGCUCGAGUGGCGAACGGGUGAGUAACACGUGGGUGAUCUGCCCUGCACUUCGGGAUAAGCUUGGGAAACUGGGUCUAAUACCGGAUAGGACCAUGGUUUAGUGCCUCAUGGUGGAAAAAUUAUUGUUUUGGUGCAGGAUGAGCUCGCGGCCUAUCAGCUUGUUGGUGGGGUAAUGGCCUACCAAGGCGUCGACGGGUAGCCGGCCUGAGAGGGUGGACGGCCACAUUGGGACUGAGAUACGGCCCAGACUCCUACGGGAGGCAGCAGUGGGGAAUAUUGCACAAUGGGCGCAAGCCUGAUGCAGCGACGCCGCGUGGGGGAUGACGGCCUUCGGGUUGUAAACUCCUUUCGUUAGGGACGAAGCCACGCCUUUUUUGGGUGUGGUGACGGUACCUUUGUUAAGAAGCACCGGCUAACUACGUG
rnacentral:rRNA from 1 species